GGCGACGGGUGAGUAAUACUUAGGAAUCUGCCCAUUAGUGGGGGACAACUAGAAGAAAUUCUAGCUAAUACCGCAUACGCCCUACGGGGGAAAGCGGGGGAUCUUCGGACCUCGCGCUAAUGGAUGAGCCUAAGUCGGAUUAGCUUGUUGGUGAGGUAAAGGCUCACCAAGGCGACGAUCCGUAGCUGGUCUGAGAGGACGAUCAGCCACACUGGGACUGAGACACGGCCCAG
rnacentral:rRNA from 1 species